CGCACGUUUAGUUUGUCUUGUGUUUAACUAACUCAACAUUUAUUAAUAUAGUUGUUUUGUUUAUUCAACACAUUUUUUAAUAACGAUUGGAAAAUAAAAAUAUAAAACGUUUAACAACUAUAUCUGUUUCAUAUUUGAUGCAAAGCAACGGGCCUUCAAAAGAAAACGUUGGAAAUGAAAAUCGGAAUAUUGACUGAAUCUCCGUGGUAUGUGCGUAAUGAUGACGUUCAACGUAAUCUGAAAGUGUCCACAGCAUGUGAAGAAAUGUCGCCGUUUAGUGAUUCCCUUUGAACAGCAUCCACACGUUCAAUGUGAUCAAAGUGAUCAAUCUUUUAGACACUUAGUGUAAGAGCAAAUAUGCUUAAUAUAUACUGCCGUGGUUAGGAAAAAGACACUUCAUUUACAAUUAAUAGUAAUAUAAACGAAACUAAGAUUGUAGACGAAACUACCGUUUUAAAUUGUUUUUGAUAAAUUUAUUAUAGCUUUGCCAACCCGUCUGUUGUCUGU